rnacentral:lncRNA from 1 species
UCAAUUCCUUUUUGUUUUAUCAAAUAGUGCAAGCUUUCCUUUCACGUUCUGCAUAUCAAUUUCACAUUCACAUACAGUGAGAGUUUGAGUGUGAGUUGUGAGUGUGUGUGGAGUGGGACCUGAACCAACAUAUAUAUAUAUGUAUGUAUGUAUAGGUGUUUGUGAGGGGGUGAGGCCUGGCUUGGGCGGCUGUGGGCGGACGAAGAGGACGGCCCUGGACCGGCGACGGAGCAAGGGGGUGGCAAGGAUGGGGCGGCGGCAAGGGGAUGGGCCUGGGGACGAGCCCCAUACCGUCCGGUCUAAGUAUCCCUAUUAUGCCAUGAUCAGUUAGCCUGGUACUUCCAACACCUCAUGCUACUCAUCCUAAUCCAGAGGUAUAUUACGAAGUAGACUUGUUCUCACCUGGAGUAUCGGGGAAUAUGCUUCCAUUUUGAGCACGUGCAUGGGGGCAGUGACCGUUAUGAUGAACAUGGGUGUUUAGCGUGAAGUUCGGAUAGUUAGUUGCUUAGGAUUAGCCAGAUAUUCUAUGGGGUAUUGAGCUUGAAACAAGUUUACAACACACACACUCGCAUACAUUCUCUCUCGAACACAGCUCUCAAACACACUAGAAUUUUCAUUGUAACAAGCUCAAUAUCAUCCAAAGUUGUAACCUUUAUUGUUCAAUAUAGUUGGUGA